GCCUGAGCCAGUGCUAACUAUCCGGUCGAGUAUAUUUUCAUUUACAAAGAAAGCUGUCGAUUUAAAGGAAUGAAAACGCUCUUGGAAGCAGCCAUUCUGGUUUUUGAGGACAAUGGAAAAUGAAGUGGACAAAUGUGACUGACCAAGCAAGGGUAAAUCAGAGACUGUUGUGUCCACAUCUUUACAGAGACCUGCCUCCACCCAACAUCCCAGAUCAAGCAACUGCACUCAAUGGAAGGAUCGUGUUCCAAGUCAAAAGUACGCAAGACUACGAGAGGACGGGGAGAGCUGGACUCACACAGAGUCAAUGCUGAUGGACAGUGUUUCCUAGAUGUUGAACUUUUAAUGUGAUGAUGCCGACCAUACCAUCAUCACCAUCUUGUUGCUGCUGUUUACAUUUCACCCCAACGCAGAAUCAAAAACUAGGCGCCAUCAUUGAAGAUCAACGAGAAAAUGUCAUAGACAGAUCGAUUGGCGUCGAGGGUGUUGGAGUUCUUGUGGUGGCACACAAAGCCGUUCUCCCCGCUGAGGAUCAGCAUUGGGCGGUUGAUGAGUUUCAUCAGGAAU